rnacentral:rRNA from 1 species
UCAGGACGAACGCUGGCGGCGUGCCUAAUACAUGCAAGUAGAACGCUGAAGACUUUAGCUUGCUAAAGUUGGAAGAGUUGCGAACGGGUGAGUAACGCGUAGGUAACCUGCCUACUAGCGGGGGAUAACUAUUGGAAACGAUAGCUAAUACCGCAUAACAGCAUUUAACCCAUGUUAGAUGCUUGAAAGGAGCAAUUGCUUCACUAGUAGAUGGACCUGCGUUGUAUUAGCUAGUUGGUGAGGUAACGGCUCACCAAGGCGACGAUACAUAGCCGACCUGAGAGGGUGAUCGGCCACACUGGGACUGAGACACG